rnacentral:rRNA from 1 species
CAAGUACCGUGAGGGAAAGUUGCAAAGAACUUUGAAGAGAGAGUUCAAGAGGGCGUGAAACCGUUUGGAAGCAAACAGAUGGGCGCAACUGAAGUUUGCAGCAUUCAGCAGGUUACAGCGGACUUUUGCUGUGUCUUGUGCAUUUGUUGCAGACUUGUGGCAGGGGCAGUGACGUGCACAAUCAGACGUGCUCUUGUGAAGACCGGUUUUUACUGGCGUCUCCAUUGCAUCGAUGUUGUGUUGCUAUCGCUGUUUGGCGUUGCAUGCGUUCGGUUAGAACUCAACUUGCUGGCAUUCAGACAAUUUCCUCUCUGCUUGCAGGGGGCGAACGCUGAUGUUAUUGGAGUUGAAUCACCUGAAAAUGCGACCACCAUGCCGUUUUGUUGCCAACCUAUCUGACCCGUCUUGAAACACGGACCAAGGAGUCUAACAUGUUCGCAAGCUGUUGGGUUGCAAACCUACAGGCGAAAUGAAAGUGUGUUAUUGUAUGGGAUCCCGUCGCAAGGCGGGCGCACCAUGUUCCCGUUUCAUCUGCAUUGUCAGUGAGACGGAGAAAUAGCGUACAUGUUGGGACCCGAAAGAUGGUGAACUAUGCCUGAGCAGGAUGAAGCCAGAGGAAACUCUGGUGGAGGUUCAUAGCGGUUCUGACGUGCAAAUCGAUCGUCGGACUUGGGUAUAGGGGCGAAAGACUAAUCGAACCAUCUAGUAGCUGUUCCCUUUCGCAAACGUCGGGACUUGGGGUAUAGGGGGCGAAAGACUAAUCGAACCAUCUAGUAGCUGGUUCCUUCGCAA